rnacentral:rRNA from 1 species
AUGAGAAUCAUGCUGGAUACAGGCAUUUAGGAAUACAGGAACCUGAUACAUCCAAGUACCCACAACAUUCGAUUUGGAGGCAGUUUUGGCUGUGUAGUGAGCAGCCAUUUCGGCCUCUCUUCUAACAUGAGUAAGCUCAAAAGAUAUACACUCCAUAAUAAGAUCUUGGAUUUGAUACAACAUAGGGAGCAUACACGAUCUAUUAACGUUCCUGCUACUCCACAAACUAAUCAACAUAGGCAAGAGUUUCCAUAA